UACGAAGGGGGCUAGCGUUGUUCGGAUUUACUGGGCGUAAAGCGCACGUAGGCGGAUCUUUAAGUCAGAGGUGAAAUCCCAAGGCUCAACCCUGGAACUGCCUUUGAUACUGUCGAUCUGGAGUAUGGAAGAGGUGAGUGGAAUUCCGAGUGUAGAGGUGAAAUUCGUAGAUAUUCGGAGGAACACCAGUGGCGAAGGCGGCUCACUGGUCCAUUACUGACGCUGAGGUGCGAAAGCGUGGGAGCAACAGG
rnacentral:rRNA from 1 species